UACGAAGGGGCUAGCGUUGUUCGGAAUCACUGGGCGUAAAGGGCGCGUAGGCGGCUUUAUAAGUCGGGGGUGAAAGCCUGUGGCUCAACCACAGAAUUGCCUUCGAUACUGUAGAGCUUGAGACCGGAAGAGGUAAGUGGAACUGCGAGUGUAGAGGUGAAAUUCGUAGAUAUUCGCAAGAACACCAGUGGCGAAGGCGGCUUACUGGUCCGGUUCUGACGCUGAGGCGCGAAAAGCGUGGGGAGCAAACAGG
rnacentral:rRNA from 1 species